AUGCAACGCGAAGAACCUACCAGGGUUUGACAUGAUACGAAUUUCUUUGAAAGAAGAAAGUGCCGUUUGGAGCGUAUACACAGGUGGUGCAUGGCUGUCGUCAGCUCGCGUCGUGAGAUGUUGGGUUAAGUCCCGCAACGAGCGCAACCCUCAUUUUUAGUUGCCUUAUGGAACUCUAGAAAGACUGCCGGUUAUAAACCGGAGGAAGGCGGGGAUGACGUCAAGUCAGCAUGCCCCUUACACCCUGGGCUACACACGUGCUACAAUGGGUGAGACAAUGAGAUGCAUCUCUGUGAAGACAAGCUAAUCUAUAAACUCACUCUAAGUUCGGAUUGCAGGCUGCAACUCGCCUGCAUGAAGUUGGAAUCGCUAGUAAUCGCUGGUCAGCUAUACAGCGGUGAAUUCGUUCCCGGGCCUUGUACACACCG
rnacentral:rRNA from 1 species